rnacentral:rRNA from 1 species
UUAAGUGCAUGUGGUGGAUGCCUUGGCAGUCAGAGGCGAUGAAAGACGUGAUAGCCUGCGAAAAGCUCCGGGGAGGCGGCAAAUAUCCUUUGAUCCGGAGAUGUCUGAAUGGGGGAACCCACCUACUUUAAGGUAGGUAUUGCAACAUGAAUACAUAGUGUUGCAAGGCGAACGAGGGGAAGUGAAACAUCUCAGUACCCUUAGGAAAAGAAAUCAAUUGAGAUUCCCUCAGUAGCGGCGAGCGAACGGGGAUCAGCCCAUUAAGUUAUGUGUGUUUUAGUGGAACGCUCUGGGAAGUGCGAACGUAGUAGGGUGAUAUUCCCGUACACGAAAGGGCACACAUAAUGAUGACGAGUAGGGCGAGGCACGUGAAACCUUGUCUGAAUAUGGGGGGACCAUCCUCCAAGGCUAAAUACUCCUGACUGACCGAUAGUGAACCAGUACCGUGAGGGAAAGGCGAAAAAGAACCCCUGUGAGGGGAGUGAAAUAGAUCCUGAAACCGCAUGCAUACAAGCAGUGGGAGCACCUUCGUGGUGUGACUGCGUACCUUUUGUAUAAUGGGUCAGCGACUUAUAUUCAGUAGCGAGGUUAACCGUAUAGGGGAGCCGUAGAGAAAUCGAGUCUUAAUAGGGCGUUUAGUUGCUGGGUAUAGACCCGAAACCAGGCGAUCUAUCCAUGAGCAGGUUGAAGGUUGGGUAACACUAACUGGAGGACCGAACCCACUGUCGUUGAAAAGCCAGGGGAUGACUUGUGGAUAGGGGUGAAAGGCUAAUCAAGCCUGGUGAUAGCUGGUUCUCCCCGAAAGCUAUUUAGGUAGCGCCUCGGACGAAUACCAUAGGGGGUAGAGCACUGUUUCGGCUAGGGGGUCAUCCCGACUUACCAAACCGAUGCAAACUCCGAAUACCUAUGAGUACUAUCCGGGAGACAGACUGCGGGUGCUAACGUCCGUAGUCAAGAGGAAAACAAUCCAGACCGCCAGCUAAGGCCCCAAAAUCAUAGUUAAGUGGGAAACGAUGUGGGAAGGCAUAGACAGCUAGGAGGUUGGCUUAGAAGCAGCCACCCUUUAAAGAAAGCGUAAUAGCUCACUAGUCGAGUCGGCCUGCGCGGAAGAUGUAACGGGGCUAAAACUAUGUGCCGAAGCUGCGGAUGUAUACUUUGUAUACGUGGUAGGGGAGCGUUCUGUAAGCCGAUGAAGGUGUGUUGAGAAGCAUGCUGGAGGUAUCAGAAGUGCGAAUGCUGACGUGAGUAACGACAAAACGGGUGAAAAACCCGUUCGCCGAAAGACCAAGGGUUCCAGUCCAACGUUAAUCGGGGCUGGGUGAGUCGACCCCUAAGGCGAGGCCGAAAGGCGUAGUCGAUGGGAAAAUGGUUAAUAUUCCAUUACUUCUGUGUAAUGCGAUGAGAGGACGGAGAAGGCUAAAUCAGCCUGGCGUUGGUUGUCCAGGUGAAAGGAUGUAGGCAUGUAUCUUAGGCAAAUCCGGGGUACUCUAUGCUGAGAUCUGAUAGCAAGCUGUACUUGUACAGCGAAGUGGUUGAUGCCAUGCUUCCAGGAAAAGUCUCUAAGCUUCAGUUACACAGGAAUCGUACCCGAAACCGACACAGGUGGUCAGGUCGAGUAGACCAAGGCGCUUGAGAGAACUCUGCUGAAGGAACUAGGCAAAAUGGUACCGUAACUUCGGGAGAAGGUACGCUGUUGUUGGUGAUGGAACUCGCUUCCUGAGCUGACGACAGCCGCAGAAACCAGGCCGCUGCAACUGUUUAUUAAAAACAUAGCACUCUGCAAACACGAAAGUGGACGUAUAGGGUGUGAUGCCUGCCCGGUGCUGGAAGGUUAAUUGAUGGGGUUAGCGUAAGCGAAGCUCUUGAUCGAAGCCCCAGUAAACGGCGGCCGUAACUAUAACGGUCCUAAGGUAGCGAAAUUCCUUGUCGGGUAAGUUCCGACCUGCACGAAUGGCAUAAUGAUGGCGGCGCUGUCUCCAGCAGAGGCUCAGUGAAAUCGAAAUCGCUGUGAAGAUGCAGUGUACCCGCGGCUAGACGGAAAGACCCCGUGAACCUUUACUGCAGCUUGACACUGAACUUUGACCUUACUUGUGUAGGAUAGGUGGGAGGCUUUGAAGCUGGAACGCUAGUUCCAGUGGAGCCGUCCUUGAAAUACCACCCUGGUAAUGUUGAGGUUCUAACUCUGUCCCGUGAUCCGGGACGAGGACCGUGUCUGGUGGGUAGUUUGACUGGGGCGGUCUCCUCCUAAAGAGUAACGGAGGAGUACGAAGGUGCGCUCAGCGUGGUCGGAAAUCACGCGUAGAGUAUAAAGGCAAAAGCGCGCUUAACUGCGAGACCCACAAGUCGAGCAGGUACGAAAGUAGGUCUUAGUGAUCCGGUGGUUCUGUAUGGAAGGGCCAUCGCUCAACGGAUAAAAGGUACUCUGGGGAUAACAGGCUGAUACCGCCCAAGAGUUCAUAUCGACGGCGGUGUUUGGCACCUCGAUGUCGGCUCAUCUCAUCCUGGGGCUGAAGCAGGUCCCAAGGGUAUGGCUGUUCGCCAUUUAAAGAGGUACGCGAGCUGGGUUUAGAACGUCGUGAGACAGUUCGGUCCCUAUCUACCGUGGGCGCUGGAAAUUUGAGAGGAUCUGCUCCUAGUACGAGAGGACCAGAGUGGACGAACCUCUGGUGUACCGGUUGUGACGCCAGUCGCAUCGCCGGGUAGCUAUGUUCGGAAGGGAUAACCGCUGAAAGCAUCUAAGCGGGAAGCCUACCUCAAGAUAAGAUUUCCCUAGGACUUUAUGUCCUCUAAAGAGCCGUUCGAGACUAGGACGUUGAUAGGUUGGAUGUGGAAGCAUAGUGAUAUGUGAAGCUGACCAAUACUAAUUGCUCGUGAGGCUUGACU